GACGAACGCUGGCGGCGUGCUUAACACAUGCAAGUCGAGCGGACCUUCGGGUCAGCGGCGAACGGGUGAGUAACACGUGGGCAACCUGCCCCAGACUCUGGAAUAACUCCGGGAAACCGGGGCUAAUGCCGGAUAUGACACCGUCGGGCAUCUGGUGGUGUGUAAAGAUUUAUUGGUCUGGGAUGGGCCCGCGGCCUAUCAGCUUGUUGGUGGGGUGACGGCCUACCAAGGCGACGACGGGUAGCCGGCCUGAGAGGGCGACCGGCCACACUGGGACUGAGACACGGCCCAGACUCCUACGGGAGGCAGCAGUGGGGAAUAUUGCGCAAUGGGCGAAAGCCUGACGCAGCGACGCCGCGUGAGGGAUGAAGGCC
rnacentral:rRNA from 1 species